rnacentral:lncRNA from 10 species
CAUUUUUCUGCUACAUCCUGCUCCCUUUUUCUCCCUCCCUUAGGUGUCGAACCCAAGGGCUCUUCUCAGCAGAGUGUCUGCAUGCCACACUCUGCUUUAGAGUCUGUUCCCUGGGGAACACAACCAGAGACUGAAAUAAUUGGUGGGCAGUGGGGAGCACAAAGGGCUGUUUUUGUUUCAUGUGAAGACGAUGAGCAUGCUAUGAACCCCGAAGAGCUGUUGUAUAAAGUAUCUGCCUGGAAACCCUGUUGCCUGGAGACCACUCUUGAAGAACAUCCACUGCUGUGGCCUCUUAAAGAUUUAAGACAUCUAAUGAACAGCUGACAGAAAUCAUCAAUUUGCUCCUCAGUUUAAGUGCAGCAGGGCUCAAAGAAUGGCACCCACAUGUCAGGGGCCUGUGCUCCUUUCCUUCCGCACUGGGACCUGUGCUACUUUGGCACCUCAGCAAAGCAUGUACUGAAGUUGCACACAAUCAUCUCUGCUCAUGCACCAUUGGCUGAAGUUAGUUAAAUGGUCACAUAUAGCUGGGCGUGGUGGCUCAC